UCUCAGCUACGUCGGUGUAAAUC
rnacentral:miRNA from 1 species